GUUGGGAAUAUUGGACAAUGGGCGAAAGCCUGAUCCAGCCACGCCGCGUGAGUGAUGAAGGCCUUCGGGUCGUAAAGCUCUUUUAGCAGGGACGAAGGGAAACUUGACGGUACCUGCAGAAAAAGCACCGGCUAACUCCGUGCCAGCAGCCGCGGUAAUACGGAGGGUGCAAGCGUUGCUCGGAAUUAUUGGGCGUAAAGCGCGUGUAGGCUGUUACUUAAGUCUGGUGUGAAAUCCCGGGGCUUAACCCCGGAAGUGCAUUGGAUACUGGGUAACUGGAGGUCAGAAGAGGAUGGUGGAAUUCCUGGUGUAGGGGUGAAAUCCGUAGAUAUCAGGAGGAACAUCGGUGGCGAAGGCGGCCAUCUGGUCUGUACCUGACGCUGAGACGCGAAAGCGUGGGGAGCAAACAGGAUUAGAUACCCUAGUAGUCC
rnacentral:rRNA from 1 species